rnacentral:rRNA from 1 species
AACGAACGCUGGCGGCAGGCCUAACACAUGCAAGUCGAACGCCCUAGCAAUAGGGAGUGGCAGACGGGUGAGUAACACGUGGGAACCUUCCCUAUAGUAUGGAAUAGCCCAGGGAAACUUGGAGUAAUACCGUAUACGCCCGAGAGGGGAAAGAUUUAUCGCUAUAGGAUGGGCCCGCGUAGGAUUAGCUAGUUGGUGAGGUAAUGGCUCACCAAGGCGACGAUCCUUAGCUGGUCUGAGAGGACGACCAGCCACACUGGGACUGAGACACGGCCCAGACUCCUACGGGAGGCAGCAGUGGGGAAUAUUGGACAAUGGGCGCAAGCCUGAUCCAGCCAUGCCGCGUGAGUGAUGAAGGCCUUAGGGUUGUAAAGCUCUUUUGCCGGGGACGAUAAUGACGGUACCCGGAGAAUAAGUCCCGGCUAACUUCGUGCCAGCCGCCGCGGUAA